AUGGAAGAAACACUUGAGCAUAUUUUCUUUGAUUGUUCCUUCAGCAAGGAUUGCUGGUCUGAUAUUGCCAUCUGGUGGAGUUCUCAAGGUUCACGUUUGGAUUGGAUAAGCACAGCUAAAACAGCAUGGAACAAGCCAAUGUUCAUGGCAAUAUUUCUACAAGCAGCAUGGAGCAUCUGGAAGGAAAUAAAUAAUAAAGUCUUCAGAAGAAUAACACCCACGAAAGCAUCCUGGAAUUCAAGACUAAAAGAGGAUCUCUCUCUCCUAACUCAUAGGGUUGGAGAAAAACACACCUCCUUUCUCACCUCCUUUGUAGCUACUCUUUGA
rnacentral:rRNA from 1 species